GGGGUUGUGGCUCAGUGGUAGAGCACUCACCUCACAAGUAUGGGGCACUGGGUUGGAUCCUCAGCACCACG
rnacentral:tRNA from 1 species